GACGUAUCAGAAGUGCGAAUGCUGACAUGAGUAACGAUAAAGGGGGUGAAAAACCUCCUCGCCGGAAGACCAAGGGUUCCUGUCCAACGUUAAUCGGGGCAGGGUAAGUCGACCCCUAAGGCGAGGCCGAAAGGCGUAGUCGAUGGGAAACGGGUUAAUAUUCCCGUACUUCUUACAAUUGCGAUGGGGGGACGGAGAAGGCUAGGUGGGCCUGGCGACGGUUGUCCAGGUUCAAGUGCGUAGGCUGAGAAAUUAGGUAAAUCCGGUUUCUCUUAAGGCUGAGACACGACGUCGAGCUACUACGGUAGUGAAGUCAUUGAUGCCAUGCUUCCAGGAAAAGCCUCUAAGCUUCAGAUUGUAAGGAAUCGUACCCCAAACCGACACAGGUGGUCGGGUAGAGAAUACCAAGGCGCUUGAGAGAACUCGGGUGAAGGAACUAGGCAAAAUGGUACCGUAACUUCGGGAGAAGGUACGCUCUUGAUGGUGAAGUCCCUUGCGGAUGGAGCUGACGAGAGUCGCAGAUACCAGGUGGCUGCAACUGUUUAUUAAAAACACAGCACUGUGCAAAAUCGUAAGAUGACGUAUACGGUGUGACGCC
rnacentral:rRNA from 1 species